rnacentral:rRNA from 1 species
GAAGGAUCAUUAAUGAGUAAGGGACUCGAUUUAUACAGAGCCCGACCUCCAACCCUUUGUCUACCUUACCAAUGUUGCUUCGGCGAGCCCGCUUCGAAAGAGGCCGCCGGAGGGUCGUUAAACACUCUCUGGUCAGUGCUCGCCGGUGGCCCCAAUCAAAACUCUUGUUAAGAACUUGUCUAAGUAUAAACAAACAAAUAAGUGAAAACUUUCAACAACGGAUCUCUUGGUUCUGGCAUCGAUGAAGAACGCAGCGAAAUGCGAUAAGUAAUGCGAAUUGCAGAAUCCGUGAGUCAUCGAAUCUUUGAACGCACAUUGCGCCCUUUGGCAUUCCGAAGGGCAUGCCUGUUCGAGCGUCAUUAUUACCCCUCAAGCUCGGCUUGUUGUUGGACGUCGGUGGUCGUUUGUCGGUCGCCCGCCCCAAAGAUAAUGACGGCGUCUGUGAGGACUCCAGUACACUGAGCUUCUUCGGAGCACGUAUUGGCUAGAAGUCCAGGCCCGGUCUUACCCAUUAUUUUUAUAAAGUUGACCUCGGAUCAGGUAGGGAUACCCGCUGAACUUAAGCAUAUCAAUAAGCGGAGGAAAAGAAACCAACAGGGAUUGCCUCAGUAACG